rnacentral:rRNA from 1 species
UACGAAGGGGGCUAGCGUUGCUCGGAAUUACUGGGCGUAAAGCGCACGUAGGCGGCUUUCUAAGUCGGGGGUGAAAUCCUGGAGCUCAACUCCAGAACUGCCUUCGAUACUGGAGAGCUUGAGUCCGGGAGAGGUGAGUGGAACUGCGAGUGUAGAGGUGAAAUUCGUAGAUAUUCGCAAGAACACCAGUGGCGAAGGCGGCUCACUGGCCCGGUACUGACGCUGAGGUGCGAAAGCCAGGGGAGCAAACGGG